CACAACGGGAAGUGCAGCAGCGCACCGUCUCUGGCCCCCAGAGGAAGACAGGAGCUGGGCUAUUCAGGAGAGGGGCUGUGUACCCCAACUCUGCUGUGACAGGCAGUGCUCCGGCAGGCCAGACCAGGCCUCUCCCUGCAGCUCUCCCUCUAUCCCAGCUUUUUGGAGAGAAAGCAAACAGACCCUUGACCAGAUGGAGCCUUCCUCGCUAAUAAACCUAGCCUAAGGCUGAGACAUGUUCAAGAAGAAGCAGAAAAUUACCUUUCAGGAAGCCAAUGUGAGGGAAGCUGCCAGCUGAGCAGGAGGACUCAUGAGUACUCCCACUUCAUGCCUUCUCUGACAGAUGAAGCUAGGUUCCAGUGCCACCAGCAUUCCUGGCUGUGCUGUAAACUGAACCACUGCCUUCCCUCGUCUCCCCGAGCAACUCCUGAGGUCAUCUCUGGAAUGUCUUCGAGAUUGGAACUUUCCUACCAUCUCCAUGCAGUGGCAGAACCCUGUUUGGUUAUGCAGAGUACAACCUUGGUUCCGGGCUAGGCUGAGGGGUCUCACCAUAUAGCCCUGGCUGGCCUAGAACUCCUAUCUCUGCCUCCUGGAUGCUAGAAUUAAAGUCUUGUGCCAUGAUGCAGGACUCCCAGCCACCAUCUAAAGAUGCCUAGGAGACUCAGUACAGAGAGAAGCAGAGAAGAGAGUGGGAGGCCCGGAAGUGCCUGGAACACACAUCCUACCCAAGGAGCAGAGCCUUGUGGAGGGUAGGCUGAGGGCUGGCCUUCAGUCCUGCUCUGCAGCGGGGCCCACGACCCUGGAGGCAACUCACCUCUCACCUUUUCCACAUCCUGCCUAGCUAUUUACAGCCAUCUUCUCUCUCAAAACUACUUUACUCAUCUUUUUUUCUGAGCUGGACAGACUUGUAAAUUGAAGACAAGAGGACCCCACCUUCGAAUCCAGGAGGCUUCAUGAUAUGACCGUACUUGUCUGGGUCUGCCUGCACCCCUUGUCUUGGGCUGGGUCCUCAGGGUCUGUGAGUCAGGCAGACCUCAACUUGGGGAUCCUAUAAAGCUCAGAGGUCACCUCAAAGUUACUCUCUGCUCUAGGAGAAAUGAGCACUGUGGCAGCAGAGGACAGCUGUACCUUUAAAUGAUCUGGCCACAGAUAGGAAAAACAUUUGCACUCCGUGGCUGUUUGCAUCUUUGGUUAUUUUUAGGGUGAACCCAGUUGCCUCCCCUUGGAACCAGAUGAAGCCCCAGAGGAGGCACGUAGUCCUUUUUCCCAGAUGGGGGGUCCUGCUCCUGCUUCCCUGGGAAUGAAGUCUUGAACACGGCUAUCUGGGGGACCCGCCCCCCAGCGUUACACAGUGCACUCCACUCGGGCUCACUUGAGGGAUCGAGGCACCAAAAGCAUCUUUGCUACUAUUGUGAAAAUCUGCUGCCGACGUCAGGGCCACCUACCUGCACCCAGAGAGCCCCUUGCCACUCCCGGAGUCUGAAGGGAAGACGAUGUGAUGCAAUCCCCUACCUCCAACCAGCAGUCCCAGCUGAUGGGAAUGUCUGGCUGGCGUAUUUCUAGAACAAGCGGCAAUUAGAGGCGAUCUUCUCUCCUGCCCCCCCCUCCCCAAAACAGAA